rnacentral:lncRNA from 1 species
GCCUGGAUCGCCCUUUCUGGUUUUCAAUCCACCAGGAUACCCAUUUUUGCCUAAGUCGCCCUUGCGGGUUUUCGACUUAUCGGGUGUACAAAUUCUUUUCAUUUUUAUCCCUAAUUUUUGCCCGAACCUUUUCUUUCUUUUUUUUUGGUUCGCCGGAAUGCCCUUUUUUGCCUGGACUCUUUUAUUCUUUUUGUCCAGCGG